UUGAUACUCCAUCCUCACUCUCAAUCUUGAUUCUCAGGGGAUUUGGUUUACACAUUCUUAGUACAAUUAAUGAACACCAAAUCUAAAAGCAUUUGUUAGUCUUGGUCCAAAUAAAAGUCGACAAGCAUGAAACAGUGUUUGACUAGAAAUGACUAGGUGAAUUUUGAAGGAUGACCCAGCUAUCUUUAAAGCAAGUACCCCAUGGGAGGUUAGUUAACGUUUGAAAAAACAGAAGAUGAACUUAUCCAAAUCUCUGAUUGGGAGACAAUGGCUUUAUGGUUUUUAGAUUGGCAUUUAAUGAUAGAACCCUGGGCCUCUUAUAAUGUCAGGAAGGGCGAGUACAACAGUAGAGUGGUUUUAUUUCUAAAUGGGAAGAACUGAAAACUAUAUACUAACUUUCUAUCUGUGACCUUAAUUGGAAGGUGCGGAUAUAUUCAUAAUUUAUUGGUGGGACACUAGUCUCGUGUUACAAAUCACCCACAUGUAUGGUUGAAGACAACAAAGAAUAGCCUAACCUGUCACUCUUUGGUUGAAAAAUUGAGCACAUCCUAGUCCAUUUUAUUGUAUUUUUAUUUAGGUUUUUGUUAUUUGGCUUAAUUUUAUGUUAUGUUGAACUUCAUCGUAUUUUAGUUGGCCUUUAGCCUAAUUGUUGGCUGUGAUUGAGGUUUUAUUGAGACUAUUUGUGACUUUUCUACAUGUUAGAUAACUUUGAUGAAUUAAGAAAACCUUGCAGCCUCCCUCUCUUCCCUUUCUUUUCUUUUGCUCAUUUUCUUUUUUUCCUCUUUCUUCUUCUCCUCUUCAAUUUAAUGUUGUCCCACAUCAAUUUUGGUAUUAGAACAGGCUUUUGGUUGUUUUAACAAUCAAACGAUUCAAACAACCCUAAACACCUUCUCUCCACCUUUGUCAUUCUGUCCAGCCCCCUCUUUAACAUUAAAUAUUCAUUGAACCAAACACUGCCCAAAACUAAACCAACAAUACCUCUCCAACACCCACAUCAACAUCAACAUCAACAUUGAACCUUCAACAAACCCAACACCAGCCACCACCCUGCUGCCCAACAAUACAAUCCCCUCCACACCCAUCAAUCCACCAAAUCAGCAAACCUCCGGUACCAUCAACUUCUUUUCACGCCAUCAUUGAAAACCCAACCUACUUUAAAUCUAUAUCAAACUGCCAUAACAAUUGCAAUACCAGAGAAAUAAAAUUCAAUGAAUCAAAGGGUUGAGUGAUUUACUUACCAGGAUGCUUAAUAGUAGUGAUAGAUCAAUUGGAUCAUGCAAGUUGUUGAUGUAGUGGUGUUGUCAUGGUGGUGUUUUGGCUAUGAUGAUGUGAUUUUUUUUUACCAUGACCUUUUUCUUUUUAUGGCACUUGUGCUACUUUGUUGGAUUUUUUUUUUUAAAAAUACCACUGGCUGAUUCUGUUAUACUUCAGCUUUUUAAAAUAUUUUAGUAAAAAAAAUGUUAAAGAAUAUAGGUAUGCUUAGCUUUACAAGAGAGAUACGUUGGUGGGUUUGAAUUAAGAAUACAUGGUUGACUUUAAUGGACUUUGUUUCAAAUGAGUUAUGUUCUUGAUGGUGGUGUGAAGUGAAGUUGAUGGCAACAGAUGUUUGGUGGGUGUGAGCGUGGUUGUAUUGUUUGGCAGAGAGGUGGUGGCUGAUUUUGGGCUUGUUGAUGGUGUGUGUUGGAGAAGCAGUCUUGGUUCAAUGAAUAUUUAAUGCUGGAGAGGCGGCUGGACAAUAUAGCAGAGGUGGAUUUGGCGGGUGUGGAGGUGGUUGUAUUGUUUGGCAGAAAGGUGGUGGCUGGUAGCUGAUGUAGGUUUUGUUGAUGGUGGUGGGUGUCGGAGAAGCAGUCUUGUUUCAAUGAAUAUUUAAUGUUGGAGAGGCGGUUGGACAAUAUGGUAGAGAUGGAGAGAGGAUGUUUAGAAUUGUUUGGUUGUUAGAACAACUAAAAAUCUACUAUGAUACCAUAGUUGAUGCGGGAUAACAUUGAAUUGAAAAAUAGGAGCAGAAGAAGAGAAGGGAAA